AUGAAUUUAAAAUGUACACAGGAACUUUCUGAUAAACCCAGGAGAUGGCAGGAAUUGAAGAAUAAAAGGAAGGAUGAAAGCAAUGGUAAGGGGGCAUUGACUAGAUCUUUGUGGAAAUGCCAUGUUGUUCAGCUGGCAUCAGCUUCCUGGGUAGCUCAAAUAGCUCUGCAGUCUCAAGAUUGAUGGCUUCCUUGUGUUCCUUUCACUUAGAAUAACAGUGAGUCAUUGGGCUCAGCUCCAGCUUUAAGCAGAACUUUGGAAAGAACAUUUCUUGUAGGGUUUAGUCGUUUUGCCAAUGAAUCACAUGGAACUCUCUUAUGGUUAGAGGGCCCCCAAUUAGGAAGGAUAUUGGACCAGUUGGAUAAAGGAGUUUGAGGAAUCAGAGACAUUCCUCAUAAGUGAGGCUAUAGACUUGUAGAAACGUAUUCAAUCUGUGCACAAUCUAGGUGAUACAUUUUUUAAAAUUAUUUCUAAUCCUGGGGCUGUAGGAAAUCGUAACUGGAGGGCUAAGGGAGUUACAUUGGCAUUGCACUGCUCAUCUCCCUGUAAAAUCCUCCCCUGAAAAAGCAAAUUGGACUUUUGGGUUCAUCCCGCUUCUUGACAGACUAAGUGAGCCAUAUUGAAAAUGGCAUUUUGUUUUUAAAAAAGAUAUUAGUUAUUAUGCAAAAGGGCAAAACUCCUGGUGGAAAAAUAAGCAUUGAUGAUCUUGAGGAGAUUUCUUCUGAGGCCGUUCUAUCACCUUCAGAUGUUGGCCAUUCCUUGGAGGUGGUCUUGACAAGAGACUAGACCACGUUCCUUUCCCUUGUAUGUUAACCAAAACAUCAUGAUAGAUGUGAUAAUCUUCUAAUCUUUUUGGAGUUCUGAUGAACGCCUUUCCCCAAAUAAGUCUGAGCUCCAUUUGUCAGGUGACCAGGAGAACUGCCCAGACAUGUGUUAACUGGAAAUGAAGCUUUGGCUAGUGGUUUUUUCAUUAGCCAAAGUUGAAAUUCAAAAGGGGUUUGUUGUCACAGAUGGCAUGGGGAAACCUGGAGCACGUUAUGUCAAGUGAAAUAAAACCCAGUCACAGAAGGACAAAUACUAUGUGAUUCCACUUACAUGAGGUAUCUAAAAUAGUCACACACAUUGAAGUUGCCAGGGAUUGGGGGUGGUGAAAAUAGGGAGUUGGUCAAUAGGUAUAAAGUUUCAGUUGUUCUAGAUGAAUACGUUCAAAGUAUCUGCUGUGCAAAAUAGUGCCUAUAGUUAACAUCAUGGUAUUGUGUACUUCAAAGAGUGUGUUAAGAGGGUAGAUCUCAUGUUAAGUGUUCUUACCACAAAGUAAAAGAAAAACAAAUACAAAUGAACAGAAACUUUUGGAGGUGUCAGAUACGUCUAUUACCUUGAUUGCAGUGAUGACAUCAUAGGAAUUGCCAUAAGUCCAAACUCAUCAAAUUAUACACAUUAAAUACAUGAAGUUCUUUGUGCAUUAUUUAUACCCCAAUAAGCUGUUAAAUAUUUUUUAAAGGAUAUUGGUUAAAUGAAUAAAUGAAUUAAUGAAUUCGGUAGCCAUUGAUUAUAAUGAGUCAGAUUUUGUGGCAGGUCCCUGGAAUAUAGAAUUAAAGAAGACAGUCACCAACAUCAAGGGAAAGUGAUUGAGACACACAUAAAAAUGCAUAAUUGCAGUACAGAGUGAUCGGUGUUAAAAUAGAAGCUGACUGUAGAGCACUGAAGAGUAAAAGUAAUAGCCCAGUGAAUCAGGAAAUAAUGAAUCAGGAAGGAAACUUUGAGCUGGCAUUUGGUCUUUUAAUUAAGGCAACACUAAUUUCACCAUAUCAUUACUUUCAAAUUAUUUCUAUGUUAUGUCUGUCAGUUGCUUUUGUAGGCUAACAUAUUGGCUAGGAGUUAAGCCAUGGCGUUAAAAUGCAUUCUGAUGUGAUUGUAUUCAUUUACCAGUUGAAGAAACAUUGUUGAUACCAUAGUUUAUUUUCUGUGACUUUCCAAAUUUUUUAAACUUUGAAAAUCACCCAAACUAUAUCAGGAAAUCUAUAGUAUGCCUAUAAACUUAGAAUAUCUAACAAAAGACAUCAAUUGUUUUAAUAUAAUCAUCCUUUCCCUUUUCUGGUAGCUUCUAUUUUCCUGAACCAUCAUGCACUUCAGGUUUUAAAAUACAUUUCCAUAGAGUUGAGACAGAUUAUUUUGAUUUCCUUGCUAUGAUUCAUUCUCAUUACCAAUUAUAAUUUUGUGAUUUUGUGC
rnacentral:lncRNA from 1 species